rnacentral:rRNA from 1 species
AUUGAACGCUGGCGGCAGGCCUAACACAUGCAAGUCGAGCGGAGCGGCGGACGGGUGAGUAAUGCCUAGGAAUCUGCCUGGUCGUGGGGGAUAACGUCCGGAAACGGGGGCUAAUACCGCAUACUAUCAGAUGAGCCUAGGUCGGAUUAGCUAGUUGGUGGGGUAAAGGCCUACCAAGGCGACGAUCCGUAACUGGUCUGAGAGGAUGAUCAGUCACACUGGAACUGAGACACUGUCCAGACUCCUACGGUAGGCAGCUGUGGGGAAUAUUGGACAGGUGGCGAAAUCCUUAGCCAGCCAUGCCGCGUGUGUGAAGAAGGUCUUGGGAUUGUAAAGCCCUUUAAGUUGGGAGGCGUUACCAACAGAAUAAGCACCGGCUAACUUCGUGCCAGCAGCCGCGGUAAUGC